rnacentral:sRNA from 1 species
GUCGCUGCAAAAUCAGCGACCGGGUUUGACGGCCCGAGUACAUACAGGCGCACAGGCGCCCCCAUCUCGAUUGCAGGCGCUUUUUUU